rnacentral:rRNA from 1 species
UACGUAGGGUGCGAGCGUUGUCCGGAAUUAUUGGGCGUAAAGGGCUCGUAGGCGGUUUGUCGCGUCGGGAGUGAAAAACUCAGGGCUUACCCUGAGCCUGCUUCCGAUACGGGCAGACUAGAGGUAUGCAGGGGAGAACGGAAUUCCUGGUGUAGCGGUGAAAUGCGCAGAUAUCAGGAGGAACACCGGUGGCGAAGGCGGUUCUCUGGGCAUUACCUGACGCUGAGGAGCGAAAGUGUGGGGAGCGAACAGG